GAUGAACGCUGGCGGCGUGCUUAACACAUGCAAGUCGAACGAAGCACUUAAGAUUGAUUCUUCGGAUGACGUCUUUUGUGACUUAGUGGCGGACGGGUGAGUAACGCGUGGGUAACCUGCCUCACACAGGGGGAUAACAGUUAGAAAUGACUGCUAAUACCGCAUAACCCGAUAGGAUCGCAUGAUCCACACGGAAAAGAUUUAUCGGUGUGAGAUGGACCCGCGUCUGAUUAGCUAGUUGGUGAGGUAACGGCCCACCAAGGCGACGAUCAGUAGCCGGGCUGAGAGGGUGAACGGCCACAUUGGGACUGAGACACGGCCCAAACUCCGACGGGAGACAGCAGUGGGGAAUAUUGCACAAUGGGGGAAACCCUGAUGCAGCGACGCCGCGUGAGUGAAGAAGUAGUUCGGUAUGUAAAGCUCUAUCAGCAGGGAAGAAAAUGACGGUACCUGACAAAGAAGCCCCGGCUAACUACGUG
rnacentral:rRNA from 1 species